AGAGUUUGAUCAUGGCUCAGAAUGAACGCUGGCGGCGUGCCUAACACAUGCAAGUCGAACGAGAGCGAAGGAGCUUGCUCCUUCAAUCUAGUGGCAGACGGGUGAGUAACGCGUGGGUAAUCUACCUUCGAGUGGGGCAUACCAGGCCGAAAGGCCUGUUAAUUCCGCAUGAAAUGGAUGUCAUCUUGGUGGCGACCAUGAAAGCCCGGGAUCUUCGGACCGGGUGCUUGAAGAGGAGCUCGCGUUAGAUUAGCUAGUUGGUGAGGUAAUGGCUCACCAAGGCUGCGAUCUAUAGCCGGCCUGAGAGGGUGAUCGGCCACACUGGAACUGAGACACGGUCCAGACUCCUACGGGAGGCAGCAGUGGGGAAUUUUGCGCAAUGGGGGAAUCCCUGACGCAGCAACGCCGCGUGAGUGAAGAAGCAUCUUGGUGUGUAAAGCUCUGUCGAUAGGGACUAA
rnacentral:rRNA from 1 species